rnacentral:rRNA from 1 species
UUAGGAAUCUUCCCCAAUGGGCGCAAGCCUGAGGGAGCGACACUGCGUGAAGGAUGAAGGUUUUCGGAUCGUAAACUUCUGAACGAGGGGCGAAUAAUGACGGUACCUCGCUAAAAGCACCGGCUAACUCCGUGCCAGCAGCCGCGGUAAUACGGAGGGGGUUAGCGUUGUUCGGAAUUACUGGGCGUAAAGCGCACGUAGGCGGACCAGUCAGUCAGAGGUGAAAUCCCGGGGCUCAACCUCGGAACUGCCUUUGAUACUGCUGGUCUCGAGUCCGAGAGAGGUGAGUGGAAUUCCGAGUGUAGAGGUGAAAUUCGUAGAUAUUCGGAGGAAAACCAGUGGCGAAGGCGGCUCACUGGCUCGGUACUGACGCUGAGGUGCGAAAGCGUGGGGAGCAAACAGGAUUAGAUACCCCCGUAGUCC